CCUACGGGCGGCAGCAGUGAGGAAUAUUGGUCAAUGGACGAGAGUCUGAACCAGCCAAGUAGCGUGAAGGAUGACUGCCCUAUGGGUUGUAAACUUCUUUUAUAUGGGAAUAAAACGUUCCACGUGUGGGAUUUUGUAUGUACCAUAUGAAUAAGGAUCGGCUAACUCCGUGCCAGCAGCCGCGGUAAUACGGAGGAUCCGAGCGUUAUCCGGAUUUAUUGGGUUUAAAGGGAGCGUAGGUGGAUUGUUAAGUCAGUUGUGAAAGUUUGCGGCUCAACCGUAAAAUUGCAGUUGAAACUGGCAGUCUGGAGUACAGUAGAGGUGGGCGGAAUUCGUGGUGUAGCGGUGAAAUGCUUAGAUAUCACGAAGAACUCCGAUUGCGAAGGCAGCUCACUGGACUGCAACUGACACUGAGGCUCGAAAGUGUGGGUAUCAAACAGGAUUAGAUACCCCUGUAGUC
rnacentral:rRNA from 1 species